rnacentral:rRNA from 1 species
GACAGAGGGUGCAAACGUUUGUUCGGAAUUACUGGGCGUAAAGCGUGUGUAGGCGGCCACGUAAGUCGGAUGUGAAAGCCCCAGGCUCAACCUGGGAAGUGCACUCGAUACUGCGUGGCUUGAGUAUCGGAGAGGUUGGUGGAAUUCUCGGUGUAGAGGUGAAAUUCGUAGAUAUCGAGAGGAACACCGGUGGCGAAGGCGGCUCACUGGCCCGAUACUGACGCUGAGGCACGAAAGCGUGGGGAGCAAACAGG